GCUUUCGUGGUGUAGCGGCAGCACGUUCGACCCGUAACGGAGAGGUCCGUGGUUCGAUUCUCGGCGAAGGCG
rnacentral:tRNA from 1 species